AGCUCUUUUUGUUGACAUAUCACUUGCUACUUGGCUGUCAGUAACGGGUAGCGAGAUCUGGCAUGUCGAGCAACCAUUGAUUCUUAAGCGCUCGAUUCCUGUCCUUGUGGCAGUUACAACUCGCUCUCAGCUGAGUUCGGGAUGGAACUGGCACACUGUUAUGAAAUGACCCAGCGGCGACAGGAGCGAGGAGCACUUGCCAGUGCCUGCCCCUGGUAAGAAGCUACGGCUCUGUACCAGGGGCAGGUACCCAACCUUCCUCCUCCCGGAUUGACAUGUGGCUACUCGACCCCUGCGCGGAUCUCGGACUCUCUCUGGCAACUGACUCUCGCCAGCCCCCCCCCCUCCCUGUCAGCCUCGGGGAGCAAACGUCAGCCGAACACCGUUCCUGUCAGCACUGCAAAUAUCCACCUGCCCUUUCAUGCAGCUUUUCUCAUCUGGGCGCGAACCGAAAGAGAUCGUCUCACCUUCAGUUCUCGUGAUCACUUUAUUGUGAAUAUUUCUUGGAAUCAUCUAUCAGUUUAUAUUCCAGUCAGUUGAUACUGAAUUCCAGGAAGAGUGAACUCACGAAAGCUAAAUUGCAUCUUUGUGUAUCAAUAUACUCAUCAUGAUGAAUAUGUCUACUUGUAUCAAGCAUUCAUUAAUUGUUCAGUUCACACUCUCUCGAUCUGCCAUGCUUCUGGAUGACGUGGCAUUUGACUCUACAUUGUUCAUUUGAUGUAUUUGUGAUAUUUCUUAAUCAAGCUUUUCCUCGUUGCUCUGAGCACUUUGUUGUAUUUCAAGUACAAUAUGUUGUGCUGCAAUCGAGACUUGUUUCCAUCAUAGUUGAAUAAAUCCUAUUUUGGUUAAAAAA